rfam:Agrilus planipennis Contig44729, whole genome shotgun sequence.
CCCCUCGUAGUUUAGUGGUUAGAACAUGGGUGCGUAAAGCCAAAGGUCCCGGGUUCGAUUCCCGGCGGAGGUG